GACCACCUAGAGGGGUGAGCUAGGGAGGGUGGGAGGGAGACGCAAGAGGGAGGAGAUAUGGGGAUGUAUGUAUAUGUAUAGAUGAUUCACUUUGUUUUAAAGCAGGAACUAACACACCGUUGUAAAGAAAUUAUACUCCAAUAAAAACGUUAAAAUCAUUAGGGAUGAACUGAAAAAAAAAGUACAGUUUUUUCCUAACCUUUUGAUCAGCCAGUAGAGGGCGUAACAGAGGCUGCUCAGGGAAUUCCUUCUGCUGGGCAGUGGGGCUCUGGAUUGUGCGCCUCUGGCCCAGCCCGCAGCUUCUAUGUUCCUGCGGCACUUGAGUGCACAGCGAGAGGAGACUUGUCAUCGUCCCUCGCCCACCAAACUUCUCUUCCCUUGUCUUCCCCCAUCUUGGCUGGUUGCAUCAAUAAGUCCUCGGGUUCCCAAACCAGAAAUGUGGGUGUUGUGUCCUCUCCCCCUCUCUCUAUAGCUAAUCCCAAGUCCUGUUGAAUAGUCUCCUUAAACAUUUCUCAAAUUUAUUCUUUCCUCUGAAGCUCUGGUAAUCUAGUUCAGCCCCUCAUCAACUUCCUGGACAAUGGCUGUAGCCUGCUAGCUAGUCUUCUUAACUCCACGCUUGUCGCCUUCAAAUCCUUCUUUCACAGUGUCACUAGGAUGAGCUCUUCAGAAGUACACAUCUGGCUAUGUCAGUCCUGUGCUUAAACCCUUCUGUGUCAGUAAGGUUACUUUCUGCUGCAGGUAACAGAAAACUGAAUCUGAAUUGGCUUAAGCAGUAAAGAGAUGGGACAGAUCAUUUGGGGCCUUGGAGGACCUAGUAAGGAAUUUGGGUUUUUUUCUGAGUACAGUGAGAAUCUAUGGAAAUACUUGUGAGAUAUGACAUAAUCUGAUUUAUGUUUUGAAAGAUUACUUGUACUCUUAGAGAAUGGAUUGGAUGGAGCAAGAAGGGAAGCAGGGACCACCCUGUUAGGAAAUUAUUGAGUCCUAAUCCAGAGAAGGGAUCAUGGUGGCCUGGAGGAAGACCAUGAAGUGGAAAUGGAGGGGCAAGUUUUAAACUUGAAAUGUAUUUUAGAAUUACAACUGAUGGAACUUCCUGAUGGUGGUGAAGUAAAGAGGAAUAAAGGGGCCUUUGGUUUGCUUUGAAUAACUGUUGGGUGUUAGGGCUGUUUACUGAGAAGAAAUGAUUUUCUUUCCUGGUUUAGGGAAGAAAAUCAAAGAUUCCAUAUUAGGUAUUUUAUGUUCAGGAAUUAUGUGAGAUGCCCAGGUGGAGGCGUCAAGUAGGGAGUCGGAUAUGCCAAUCUGAGCCCGAUGGGUGAGAUGCCCAGGUGGAGGCGUCAAGUAGGGAGUCGGAUAUGCCAAUCUGAGCUCGAUGGGUGAGAUGCCCAGGUGGAGGCGUCAAGUAGGGAGUCGGAUAUGCCAAUCUGAGCCCGAUGGGUGAGAUGCCCAGGUGGAGGCGUCAAGUAGGGAUUGGAUAUGCCAAUCUGAGCCCGAUGGGUGAGAUGCCCAGGUGGAGGCGUCAAGUAGGGAGUCGGAUAUGCCAAUCUGAGCCCGAUGGGUGAGAUGCCCAGGUGGAGGCGUCAAGUAGGGAGUUGGAUAUGCCAAUCUGAGCCCGAUGGGUGAGAUCUGAGAUGGAUGUGAAUGCUUGGAGCCAUCCCCAUGGAGAUGGUGCCAAUUCCAUGGAAAUACAUCAUUUUGGAGGUGAGUGCAGAGGGAGUAGACCAGCAGUUCCAGAACUGAGCUCUAAGGAAUCCCAACAUUGUGACGUUUGAGGGAGCAUGCAUAGCCAGUGAGAAAACCAGCAGGGAAGGAUGGGAAAGAGCAGAAGGAAGGGAGAGUAUGUUCUGUGCUACUGCCAUUGGAAUUUCAGGACUUGCAAAGCAUCGAUCGCAUUUGGCAAUGUGGAGAAUGUCGGUGAUCUCAGCAAAAGCUAUUUGAGUAGAUUGAUGGGGGUCAAAGCCAUACUGAAGUGGAUUUACAAAGUCCUGGAGUAAGACAAAGUAGGCUCUAUCAAUAGGCAAUACUUUCAGGUUGUGCUAAUAUAACGAAUUAUUUCUUUUAAAAAAUCUUGUUAUAUCAUUACCAAAAUACAUUUCAGAUAAGUUUGUUAAAUGUACAUUUUUCUCAGAAUAAAUUUGGAUGAAAAUUUAUCACAGUAAUAGUGUCUCUCUUAGUAUAACAUCAGGGAUGAAAAUAACAACGGAUGUGGUUAAUACUUUACGAUGCAUACAAGUUUUUCAAAUAUACCUAAAAUGACAAAAGUAAAAGAAGUUCUGAGAAAAAUAUUGGUCAAGUUGGUAAAGUGCUAACAUGUCUCUAGAUUAUUAAGAACCAAAUAAAUAGGCAAACCAUGAACAAGCCAGUCACAACACCGAAAGCUAGUGAACAUUCGUGGUGCUGCCACUAGGAGAAGGAACUCUUCCAGAAGCUUAACAGGGGUCAGGGAGAAUAUGUGUGAUAGUUUUCUGUUUCCUUUUUACUUUUAUCUAAAAUAUUUCCAACUGUUUUGAGCAUGUAUCAUUCUUAAAAUUAGAAGCAAAGUAAUGCAAGAAGAAAAAUGAUUAAAAUAGCUGCAUAAAUAUUUUGAGUUUUAGAAAAUGCUAAUAAAAAUUCCUCCUUUUGACCGAAGCCUGUUAAAAAUCUUGAGCAAAGGGAAAGCAGAUACAAUCUUACCUCUCGAUUACGGUAAUGUUACAGGGGUUGGUAGGGAUGAAGAUGUAAAUAUGUGAUGUAAUUUUAUAGAGUGAAUCAAGUCAGUAUAUCAUUAUACUGUUGAGUGGUGAGGCUUACAGUUUCUUUAGUUGUAAGUAGGUUGAAGUAGCCAAGGAAAAAGACUAGAUGUUAACAUUCAUGUCCACAUUUCUGGCUAGUUUUAGAAUAUGUUAACCUUGAGUAUUAUUUUUCAAAAACAAGUUUAUUAAAGAUAGUGAUAUAUUUUUAAGAUUCGGUUUCAAUUUGACUUUUUGUGCCAUUAAGAAGAAACGAGAUGCUUUAAAUGUCUUUCUUCAGCUUUCUUAUCAAGUCUGAUGCAAAAUUGUGGUGAAAACUUAGGUUUUAGUUCAUAUCUCCUUUGCCAGACUGAGUUUUGAGGUCAGUCAGUUAGGCAGAUAAUGUUUUAAAGCCUGUAGUUCAGGACAGUUGAGAAAUAUACAACAUUUUACGAAGUUAUAGCUAAUUUUUCUGUGUUGGGAUGGUGGAAAAACCUAUUGUUUUAUGAUAAUUGCAGUUGAACACCCAAAAAAGUCUGUGAAAAUGAUCACUGUAACUUAAAGAUCGGUGGUCUGUAUUUUAAAUACUGGUCAGCAAUCUGUAAUGCAGUGUUUUAUGAUUUAUGAUUUAUUUA